rnacentral:tRNA from 1 species
AAAAGAUUUAGUAUAUUUUUCUAGUAUUUUCCAUUGUCUGUGGAGGGGUUGUUUUCUUUUG